CGUAACGGGGGGGUGCGUGUGAGGUCAUCGCGCGGGCGGGCGGGGUCGGACGGUUUGAACGAGACGAAGACGGAACCGAAGCCGGGCACGGCAGUGGACGUGGUUCCUCCGCGAGCCGAAGAUGGCAGUGAACGUAUAUUCAACGUCAGUCACCAGUGAGAACCUAAGUCGACAUGACAUGCUGGCCUGGAUCAAUGAGUCCCUGCAGUUGAAUCUGACAAAGGUCGAACAGUUGUGCUCAGGGGCUGCCUAUUGUCAGUUUAUGGACAUGCUGUUCCCUGGUUCCAUUGCCUUGAAGAAAGUGAAAUUUCAAGCUAAGCUAGAACAUGAAUACAUCCAGAACUUCAAAAUACUACAAGCAGGUUUUAAGAGGAUGGGUGUUGACAAAAUAAUUCCUGUGGACAGAUUAGUAAAAGGAAAGUUUCAGGACAAUUUUGAAUUCGUUCAGUGGUUCAAGAAGUUUUUUGAUGCAAACUAUGAUGGAAAAGACUAUGACCCUGUAGCUGCCAGACAAGGUCAAGAAACUGCCGUGGCUCCCUCCCUUGUUGCUCCAGCUAUGAACAAACCGAAGAAACCUCUCAGCUCUAGCAGUGCAGCUCCACAGAGGCCCAUCGCGACACACAGAACUACUGCAACCCCUAAGGCUGGCCCCGGUGUGGUGCGAAAGAAUCCUGGUGUGGGCAAUGGGGACGACGAAGCAGCUGAACUGAUGCAGCAGACUCUUCAGAGACAGACAGGUGCCUGGACAUUCUCCACAGAAGAUGUUUCUCUUCUGAGUCAACGUAUUGAAACUUACUGUCGAAGACUUGGAGAAAGAAAGAGAUUUCUACUUUGGAAAGCUAAGGAACAUUGAAUUGAUUUGCCAGGAGAACGAAGGGGAAAACAACCCUGUAUUGCAGAGGAUUGUGGACAUUCUCUAUGCCACAGAUGAAGGCUUUGUGAUACCUGAUGAAGGGGGCCCACAGGAGGAACAAGAAGAGUAUUAACAGCUUGGACCAGCAGAGCAACAUCCGAAUUCUUCACUCCAAAUCAUGUGCUUAACUGUAAAAUACUCCCUUUUAUUAUUUUUAGAGGACUCACUGGUUUCUUUCCAUAAGCAAAAAGUACCUCUUCUUAAAGUGCACUUUGCAGAAGUUUCACUCUUUUUUCAAUAAGUUUGAGUUAGGAGCUUUUACCUUGUAGCAGAGCAGUAUUAACAUCUAGUUGGUUCACUUAGGGAACAAAGAGGCUGACCAUGGGCUCACCAUAUGGAUGCUGGUAACACUGAUUGCUGGAGAAGGUGUUUUUAUGUGAUACGCUGAGGUGGAUACCUCAGUAGUGAAAUGUAAAGACUGAUUUUAAUUUUAAGCUAAUGUGAAAUCUUGGCAGAGAACGUUUUAAUAAAUGAAUGCCUUAAGAGUAUUUAAAUUACGUUUGCAUAUUUCAAAAUAUAAAAUGUAACCUGAUAGGAGAGUUUGUGUGUUGCCCUUGUGUCUGGGAAGGAAGGGCCAGAACUUGGAACCUUUAGAACUUGCUGUUCACAGGCCUUGCAGAGCUGCUUGAAUCUUCAUAGGCCUAACCUUGGCCAGAAGGAAAAUUUAAAAAGUUGCUCUCUAAAGCCAUUUGGUGUCCUUGACCAAUUGCAUCUCUGCAAGAGGCAUUGUUGGCUGAAUGAAUAGAGGGUAUGUUUCAACCCUGAGAUAUUUGAGUUGAAUAGCUUGAUAUUCAUUGAGCAUUUCUCUGAUGAUUUUUCCAUUACCCCUGAAAUUUCUGUGUAUUGUGUCUUUGGGAAAUGAGGUGUGUUCAGUUUUAAAAUCUAACAACUACUUUGGGGACUUGCCCACAUCUCUGGGAUUUGAAUGGGGGUUUGUGUCCCAUUUUGCUGUCUUUUAAGUUUACAUUUAGCAUGUUUUUCUGCAUCCCUUGCCCACUGGGGACUCCUCUUUGGCUCCUUAAAGUUUACUGCUUAGAGUGAAAGUUCAGCAGGCAGGUGAUCAUGCUGCAAGUUCUUUUUGGACUUCUGACAAAGGGAGUGAUCAGUGAAGGCCAUCGCUACCUUGAGAUCUGCAAGGCUGGGUGUUUUUGGUACCUGCUGUCCACAGCCCUCCACUGUUAUCAGAAUACUUUGCCAGUGCACUAAUCUCUUUGGAGAUAAAAUUCGUUAGCGUGUUACUAAAUGUUAAUUUUCUUUUGCAGAAAAUACAGUACCAUGUCUGAAUUAAUUAUUAAUAUUUAAACUAUUUCAUUCCUUAACACCCCUCAUUUGCUUUGCCUACCUUCUAUUCAGUUCCUUUGUUUGGCAGAAUUCUGCAAAAUGUGUGUCACCCACUACUGAGCUUGUUCAGCCCCUGAUGUAAUUGUAUUGAUUUGUUGAUGGUGGUAGUUUGUCCUAAAAUGUGUGUAGAAAGCAGGUAUUUUAUAAUAAAUUGUUGUGUAGUGCAUGCUCUGUGUGAAAUUCAGAGAGAAACCCAGAUUCAGUGAUUAACAAUGCCAAAAAUGCAAGUAACUAGCCAUUGUUCAAAUAACAGUGGUGCUAUUUCUCUUUUGUGGCCUUUAGACUUUUGUUGCCCUAAAAUUCCAUUUUAUUGGGAACUCAUUUUCCACCUGGUCUUUCUUGACAGGGUUUUUUUUUUUUUUCUACUUUUAAGCAGUUUCUAAAUAAAAUUCUGUAUUUCAAGAGUG